rnacentral:rRNA from 1 species
GUGUCAGCCGCCGCGGUAAUUCAGAGGUGGCAAGCGUUGUUCGGAACCACUGGGCGUAAAGGGCGCGUAGGCGGUGACGUAAGUUCGUGGUGAAAUCCCCCGGCUCAACCGGGGAAUGGCUGCGGAUACUGCGUUGCUUGAGGAUGAGAGGGGAGAGUGGAACUUCUGGUGGAGCGGUGAAAUGCGUAGAUAUCAGAAGGAACGCCGGAGGCGAAAGCGACUCUCUGGAUCAUUCCUGACGCUGAGGCGCGAAAGCUAGGGGAGCAAAAGGGAUUAGAAACCCCUGUAGUCC